rnacentral:rRNA from 1 species
AUUGAACGCUGGCGGAAUGCUUUACACAUGCAAGUCGAACGGCAGCGCGGGGGCAGCCCUGGUGGCGAGUGGCGAACGGGUGAGUAAUACAUCGGAACGUGCCCGGUCGUGGGGGAUAACGUAGCGAAAGUUACGCUAAUACCGCAUACGAUCUGAGGAUGAAAGCGGGGGACCUUCGGGCCUCGCGCGAUCGGAGCGGCCGAUGUCAGAUUAGGUAGUUGGUGGGGUAAAGGCCUACCAAGCCGACGAUCUGUAGCUGGUCUGAGAGGACGACCAGCCACACUGGGACUGAGACACGGCCCAGACUCCUACGGGAGGCAGCAGUGGGGAAUUUUGGACAAGGGGCGCAAGCCUGAUCCAGCCAUUCCGCGUGCAGGACGAAGGCCUUCGGGUUGUAAACUGCUUUUGUACGGAACGAAAAGGCUCUGGCUAAUACCUGGGGCUCAUGACGGUACCGUAAGAAUAAACACCGGCUAACUACGG